CACGUAGGGUGCGAGCGUUGUCCGGAAUUAUUGGGCGUAAAGAGCUCGUAGGCGGUCUGUCGCGUCUGCUGUGAAAACUCAGGGCUUAACCCUGAGCUUGCAGUGGGUACGGGCAGACUAGAGUGCGGUAGGGGAGACUGGAAUUCCGUGGUGUAGCGGUGAAAUGCGCAGAUAUCAGGAGGAACACCGGUGGCGAAGGCGGGUCUCUGGGCCGAUACUGACGCUGGAGGAAGCGAAAGCGUGGGGAGCAAACAGG
rnacentral:rRNA from 1 species